AUGUGCACAGCACAGAUGUUGCAGGACAUGGAUCAGCGUCUGCAGGAGGAAGGGUUGGACUCCUCGGCCUCCAGCAGUGAGCGUCUGUCUCUGCUGUGGCAGCUUUACAGGAGCAGCGAAACUACAGUGAUAUCCCUCAACCAGCAGAUACAAGAUCUGCAGAAGGAACGUGUUGCUGAGAUCGAAAAGGUUCAGCAAUAUGUUAAUCAAAUUAAGAGUCUCACAAAGACCCGAGACACUGUGGCUUUACAUCUCGAGCAAGAAAACAAAACGCUCCAUGCUACUCUGGAUGACAUCCAACAACAACAAGAAGCACGGCGGAGUGAGAUCUCUGAGAUGUUACUUCAGGAAGGUCUGGCUGAUAUUAUUCCCAUCAGCCUGAGUGAACAGGUGGCAUACCUCCUCGCAGACAGAGCCUCCCUGCUGGAGAAAAUACAAAGCCAGGAGAAUGUGGAUUGGAAGACCGCACAGGAUCCUGAUGUCCAUACGGAGCAAACGUCAAAGGACUGUAGAGAGAAUGUGGUCAAAGUGGCAGCACCACACGUUCAGAGCCCUUGGAAGAGGCUUCUAGGACUCAGAAAGGCUGCUCAGAGUGAACAGAAAUCUCUGCCUCAGGCGGUUGACCUGCGGUUCAGCAGGGACAACAUACUGAAGGGACAGACGUUGCAGGAACUGGAGCGAGAUGUAGAAGAGGCCUCUGCUCGACUCGCUAUGGCCCACAAGGAGAUCCGCAGACUCACGGAUGAGCUGGAGUCUGCUCACCUGACCCAAAAGGCUUAUGAACCAGAGCUGCAAGAAGCUCAAAUAGAAGUUGAGCAGCUCCGUCACGAAGUGGAGAAACUGAAACGCUGUGAAGUUGCUGAAUUGCGAAAAAUGAAGGAGAUAAAUGAGAAACAGGAAGAAGAGCUGUGCCACCUUAGAGAGAUGGUGAAGAGGUUACAGGCGGAGCGUGUGCAUUUGCUUGAAAUGACAGAAGGCCCUGACAGCACUGUCACUCCAUCCAAAGGCAAGACGCCACAGGAAGAGGAUAUCCAUCAAGGGUGUCUUAACGAGAUGCAGGAGAGGUUACACAUGCUGCGCGAUCUGACGCAGGUCACGCUGAAGCUGCGGAUGGAGUUCGAGACAGAAGCCGACCUGCGGAGGAGGGCAGUGGACGAAUGUGAAGAGCAGAAGAGGAAGAGGACGGAGGCAGAGCAGCUGGUGAGAGACUUCCAGAACCUCUGUGAGAAGCAGGCGGAGGAUUACAGGAGCACCGUCGGCAGCCUUCAGGUGGAGCUGAGAGAUUUAGUAACUAAGGUACGAGAGCUGGAGACACAGGGAGUGGAAAGACAAUGUGACAAACACCUGAAGGAGGUGUCAUCUUUGGAGGAAAACGUUUGCCAGCUGAAGCUUGCCCUUCAAGAGGAGCAGCAGAAGACCACACAGCUGUCUGUGAGCAUGCAGAUGGAGAUUGAGCAGGCCAAAGCUUUGGUCCAGUCACAGGACGUCCAGCUUCAGCAGGAUGCAGAGGAGCAGAGGAGGAUGUUAGAAGAGCUCCAGGGCAUCCAGAACAUCCUCAGCACCAGCAAACAAGAGCUGCUGUCCCAGAGGAGAAACAACACACGACUGCAGAACAGCAUCAGUGACGCCGAGCAGGAAAACAGCAGGCUCCAACAAAACAUUGAAGACCUGAGGAACAGACUAAGCAGCGGUCAACAGGAGACAGACUCUCUGAGGACAGAACUUCAGCUAGCUCUGGUUAGAAUAGACGCUGAGAGAAGUAAAUACAACGACAAGCGAAUCCACUACAAAAACAAGCUGAGCCGAGCCAGAGAGGUUUACCUGAGAGAGACGGGGUGGCGGGACAUCAAAAUAAAAGAGCUGGACAAAGAGGUUCUUAUUCUGAGGAAACAGGAGGAAAAGACGGCACACAUGAUGAAGACGGUCACAUCUGAAAAUGAGAGUCUGCUUCAGAAGAACAGACAGCUUCUUUUACAGCUGCAUGACUUUGAACAGGCACAGAAAAAUGCUUCGGAUGCGAUUUCCACCACGCAGAUGAGGAUAAAUUUGCUUGAAAUAGAAAAUGUUCAGCUAAAGCAGACGGCGGCACAAAUGUCGCAGCGCAUCGAAUGCCUGACGAUACUGGCCGAGACGAACUGCGGUGAAGUCACUGCCGAGAGCCGUGUCAUAGAGGGAGAAGACCAAACUACUCUUCCUACAUAA
rnacentral:lncRNA from 1 species